CUGGAAGGAACAGGCCCAGAAGAUCUCCUGGAUCAAACACAAGCUACUUCACAUCUACUACCAGAACAGCAUCGACGACAAGUUGUUAGUAGAGAAGAUAUUUGCUCAGUACAUGGUUCCUCACAGUCUGGACACUGAGGAGAAGAUGAAAUGUCUCUACUACCUGUAUGCCUGUCUGGAUACCAACGCUGUCAAGGCUCUGAAUGAGAUGUGGAAGUGUCAGAACAUGUUGAGAGGUUUGGUCAGAGAACUGCUGGACCUUCACAAACUACCUGCCUCUGAAGCCAACAC